rnacentral:lncRNA from 1 species
GGGCGCUUAUUGUUCUGGGGAGAUGCCUCUUCCAGGAGUGGCUUGGGAGGGUCAGAGCUCCUUCCACUCAGACCAGUCACCCACUUCUCCAGAAAUCGCGUCCCCUUCUUUGCGCCUCUCGUGCCGACAUUCCCUGCGUCGCUCGUCCCUUUCCUGUAUCGCGCUGCCCUGUAAACUGGUGAAUAACUGCGUGGGUUCAAAAGCCAUGCUGCCUCUUUUGAUUCCUGGCUCCCCCACAUGACCUGUGAUAACCUUGGACCAACUGUUUGAGGCCGUUUGAGCCUCAGUUUCCCCAUCUGCAAGAUGGGUGCAAGACUAGCACCUCUUCCCAAUCCCGUGAGGAUUCAGGGAGGUGAUGCCAGCAUGAUGGCGGGAACUUGGCGAACCUUUGCACAGAGGUCCGAUCUCUUGCCAUUGCUGUGUCCUGGGCUGACUGCGGGGACAGCAGAGUUCUUAAAAAAUAAUCGCUUUCACAAACGCCAAUAUUUCAGUUGUGCCUCUCGGGUAUAGACAUCUGCUUAUGAAGAGCUAGCAAUACUGGAGGUUCUAGGUAAGACCUGGCUCACGACAGAGGAGAGUGACAGACCAAGGAGGGACUGACACAGAGAGAAACCAGAGCCACAAUUGGGCAGCUCUGUAGGAGAAGCCAUCCCGGACUGGGGAUGCUGGAGCUGGAGGGAAUGGGGAAGAGAUUUCAUGGAGGUAGAAAUUUACCUGCCUUGGCUGCUAGUGGGUGAUAAGCACCAAGGACUGCCGGGGUUCUGAGGAUGUGAAGGUGUAGGGAAGGAAUGACGGAGCCACGACCUCAUCCCGGGGGGAGUCCAUUCGGGGAGAUGCACGUCUCCCUGGAAAAGCUUAGGGCACAGGUGUCCCGAGGAGCUCCAAGUGGGUGGGCUGGGAGGGGAACCCUCUGCGGUCAAAGGUGUGGGAGCCUAGGUGCCUAGACUAGGCUGGGAGGACUGAAUGAAGAGAGCCUCUCAGAGGCAUUCAGAAAACUCUUGCUCUGCGAGCUCAGGUUUCUGUAAGAGUGCAACCCUAAGAACACCUUGCCAGGCACGAGUAACACCUGGGGAGUUAUUAAAACAUUGAUUCCUGGGCUCUGGCCCCGGGAGGUUCUGACUUAGAAGAGGCCCAUGAAUUUGCAUUUCUGACAGACUUCUGGGUGAUGCUGAGCAGCCAGUCCUGAGGACCACACCGUGAGUGGUGCUGCCCUGGACCACACCCAGGCCCUGUCAGCCCCCUGGAUGCUCCUGCUUCACCCACACCUGCUGCCAGAGGGAUGCCGUGUGGGGCCCGGGCCUCACCUGGACCAGCCGCCGCAGCCUCUCCUGCUGGUCCCACUGGUUAUCUUUGCCAGUCACCAGUGGGGAUUUUUUUGCUGGUGAUGUUCAGACCUUUCACCUCUUCGGGACCCCUCACCCCAAGCCCGUCCAUUGUGGGUGAGACCUGCGGCCAGAGGUCGCGUGAACACACAUGUGGCCUCCUGACAGUUUAUGGCACGGGUGCUGUCUGGGUCUAGCUCCACGUGCCAAGCGCAGGAGAUGAGACAGACCGUGUGCCUUGCUCUCUGCUCUUUCCAAGCUGGUCUAAAAAGGCUCGCAAGCUAUUCCAUAAAGCAUUGCAUCAGGGAACCUUGAGUCAUGCUGCUCUUGGUCAUCCCUUUCAGGUAUUUGCUGUCCUGAUUAAAAUGUGCAGAGGCCUCAUGAGGGAGCUGUCUCCAGACUCUGAGUCAGGGAAUCCAGUUAAUCGAGUUUGUUAGCCUUGAUUGUAAAGUAGGAGUUAAAGGGCCCAGAAUAAGAGCCUGGCAAGAUUGCUUAUGACACAGUGCAUAGAUUUUAGUGCUUGUGUGUGGGGGAUACCCAUUUUGUUUUUAAUAGUGCUAAAAUGUAUGUAGUGUAAUAUUUAUCAUUUUAACCAUUUUAAGUAUAUAAAUCAGUGAUAUCAACUGCAUUUGCAAUUUUGUGUAACCACUAACCAUACCUAAAGCUGUUUUUCUCAUCCUCAAUAUACAUUCUGUACCCAUUAAACAAUAAGCACUCUCCCCUCCACUCCUUGCAGCCCUGGGUACCUCUGUUCUACUUUCUGCUUCGUGAAUUAGACUCCUGUAUCUCAUGUCAGUGGAAUCAGGCAUAUCUGUCCUCCUGUGUUUUAUGUCACUAAACAGGUUUUCAGGUUCUACCCAUAUGGUAGCAUAUAUCAAAAUCGCUUUCCUUUUCAGGGCUGAAUAGCAUUCCCCUGUGUACAUAUGCCACAUUUUUUUAAUCCGUUCACCGUUGGUGGAUGCUUGGCUCACUUCCCCCUUUGGCUAUUAACUGAAUAAUGCUGCUCUUGACACUAGUGAAUGAAUACCUCUUAGAAUCUCUGACUUCCGUUCUUCUUUUUACAUAUCUGGGCGUCAGGUGCUGGGUCAUGUGGUGCUUGUAGCUCUAACCCUUUGAGAAACUGCCACACUGGAUUCCACAGCGGCUGCACCAUUUUACAUUCCCAGCAGCAGCAUAUUGUCCACAUCCUCCCUAACAUUUGCUGCUGCUGCUGCUGUUGUUGUUGUUGAUAAUAGCCUAUUAGUAGAUGUGAGGUCGCAGACGUGGCUCGGAUCCCGCGUUGCUGUGGCUGUGGUGUAGGCUGGUGGCUAUAACUCCGAUUUGACCCCUAGCCUGGGAACCUCCAUAUGCCAUGAGUGUGGCCCCCAAAAGGCCAAAAAAAAAAACCCCAAACAUUUUGUCUUGGAGGAUCCAACAGUCCUGAUUUAUGUCACUCACUGGAUGUGUCAGCUCUUAGCACAAACCCUGUGGAUUCCUCCUAAAAUGAAAAUAGGCAGCUACACCCAAGUAAGGUGCCCCCCCCCGACCCCCGCCCUUCAAACCACCCCCUGGCUCUCCUAUGUUACGUUUAGUGGCUUUGCAGUGCAUGUCUCUCAGCCAGAGACGCUAGUGGCAAAUGGUUCUCUCUCCAGCGCUGAGUUUAUUGGACAGGCGGUGCAUGCAGAAUUCUGUUUUAUAUGGCGAUUUGGCAUUUGUGCAGAAAAGUACUGCAAGAUUCUGAAGCGUGUUCUUGGGGGUAAAAUCAUAAGGCAUCUGCUGGAAACGGCCGUGACAGAGACGUUUCAACAGAAUCGAACAAAUAAAAGUCAGAACUCAAAAUUGAAUACUGCUGCAUUUUUGUCUAAAUCACCGUGAGCAGAUUGAGAUGUGUGCGUGUGUGUCUUGAGGGACAAAGGCACACGUCCUUCUUUGUGUGUUAAUUGUAGGGGACCGACAGAUGGGAGUGACCGCAUCACCACGUGAUGGCAACUCCUCUUUCUUCCAAGAGAUUUCUCUCCCCUUGGUUUCCCAGCCAGGUCUGACCCUGGACGGGGGCGGCUGGUGGCAGAUAGUCUAACAGCGUGUGCCCUGCCGGAACAGUCUGCUGGCACCACUUUUUAAUAAGGGCUGGGCUCUUGCCUAAGAGCCCAGCAACUUCGGUGCCUCCUCUGCUGCGCCUUCCCCGAACACACCUCGCCCUCGCUAAUAAAUUCCAAGGGCUGACAUUGCCGGAGCCGGCUGGUCUUUGCCCUCAAUUUCAUUGAGAUGGGCCAUUGAAAACUCAUUACAAGCUGUUUAGACUCUGACUUUGACUUUUGCUCGGCAGCGAGCGAAAUUAACAGCUCUUGGAGGUAGCAAAAAAGGCACUCAGCC